UGCCAUGGUGCAUACUCUUCUCCAAUAAAAACUCUGACAAUGCAGUAACCAAAUACAUAGGUUUUUAUAAAAGAACGAUUUAUUACAUAGAAAACUUUCCUCAGCCCCACUUCACUGCUCUUAUUUAUCAAAAUUCAAAAUAACCUGUGACAAUAGCCAUCACUAACAAUGUUUUCACUUAUUCUUUCACCCACAUUCUCUUAUUUGAUCUUUACAGCCCAGAAAUAGAAUAUCAUCAUCCUCAUUUACCAACAAGCAAGCCAAGUCAGGAAAAUGACUUGUCGGGGUUGGCCAAUAAUAUGGAACCGGAAACAAUGCAUGCCUUAUGCUGAAAACUUCUGCCUUUCUUCGCCUAUUCUAAAGAAAGAUAACUGUUAAUUAAACAUCCAUACCUGCCAUAAUCAAGUCACAAGAUGAGAAUCCCUUUUCAGCACUGUUUCUUUCUGGGCUCAAUAGCUCCAGGCAUGCCAGAAGCAGUCAAUCCUCAUAUAUCAUGUUAUUGAAGUUCUUGUGAAAUCACUUAGUACCUACCUUCUCUCAAAUAACGUAAGUUUUAUAAAUUAAGAUUCCACCUAGAAUGUUUGGUCAUGAAUGCUUUUCAAUAAGAGUU